rnacentral:rRNA from 1 species
UUAAUUGGCCAUACAUCCUGAGAUCAGACCUGAUUUAAUCUUAGAAGCUAAGCAAAGUUGGGCCAGGUUAGUACUAGAUGGGAGACUGCUGGGAAUACCAGGUGUGAGGCAGC